GGAUUGACGUGACGGUCAUGCCUUAAGGGGUAUGAACUGUUACUGUUGAUUUCUCACCUUCUGACGAACUAUAAUGUCAUUUAUUUGGUGUUGUGGGGAAUCAGGACUGUUACUUUGAAAAAAUUAGAGUGUUUAAAGCAGGCUCACGCUUGAAUACAUUAGCAUGGAAUAAUGAAAUAGGACGUUUGAUUCUAUUUUGUUGGUUUCUAGGAUCGACGUA
rnacentral:rRNA from 1 species